rnacentral:rRNA from 1 species
UACGUAGGGUGCGAGCGUUAUUCGGAAUUAUUGGGCGUAAAGCGCGCGCAGGCGGUUUUGUAAGUCCGCUGUGAAAUCCCCGGGCUUAACCUGGGAAUGGCAUUUGGGACUGCAAGGCUGGAGUUUGGCAGAGGAGACUGGAAUUCCUGGUGUAGCGGUGAAAUGCGUAGAUAUCAGGAGGAAUACCGAUGGCGAAGGCAGGUCUCUGGGCUAUAACUGACGCUCAUGCACGAAAGCGUGGGGAGCAAACAGG